GCGGUCACACCGAGGGCUGCCAGUCAUUAUGAAUGACGGCUGCUUUCCAUCUUUCCUCGUUAAAAGUUAUGCAAUACAAUGACAAGUUUUGUUUUCAGCCGACCGCGCAGCACCCUGUGACCAUUUUUAAAAGUGAAAUCACCUUAAUAAAAGCGAUAUUAGGCCACCACAUGUGCUUUUUUUGACAGGCGUUACAGUUAUUUUUGACGUCCAUCAUGGCGGACCGGGCGGAGUUUCGAAGAGAGUGAUGUCACGUGCAAAGCCCGCCAUGGCUUUUUUAUGUGGCCCUCUAGAUUUUAGACUAAACAGUCUGCGAGGAAGAAUAAUUGCUCUUGUUUAAAAACCUGCCUAUUAGCGCUAACCAGGUUAUACGCCGGACAUCUGUCUGAGAGUCGACAGGCGUAAUUGACUUCCAUCAUAUCCCGGUCGUCUGAACGGAAAAGCGGGUCGGGACGGCGAGCGUUGCGUCGGUUUGCUUUGGCUUCAUCACGUGGAAUUGUGCGAGAUGAAAACGGCACACAUAUGCCCGAGCGUGGAGCUCAGUGGCAUGUUAUUGGCACGGUGUUUUCAUCAGGUCUGAUAACAUAUGUUUGGAACUCAGGAGGCUCUGGGCAGGGGGGAAUAGCGCUGUGUUUGAAGUCAAACCGUCGCAUUAAGCAGAGAGAAGCGGCACAGUUGUGUGGAGAUGCUCUCUUGUUCAAAGGGAUGGGAAAGGAACAGCUCCGGGGAGCGUCCAACAUCAAGAGCUGACCCCGGCACCGUUUCCUCGCUACCUUCUGCCUCGCAUCCCACAGCCGUAUGCUGCGAUUCCCAAAGACCGGCAGGCCCGUGCCAUCUGGCCUCACAUCGGAUUCCCCGGACACAUAUUGGGAAUCCAAAGUAUGCCACCUCCCUGCCUUUCCCUUCCCUCUGUGCUCUCUCCCUCUGGGUCGUCUCUGCACCUCCACUUCAUCCCUGCUUGAGUGCUGGCUCGAGUGGAAGGGGUCGGCUCUCCAAGCAAUCCCAGUUGCCCUUUUCCUCUAUAAUCCUCUCGUGAUGGGAUCCAGGAGGAGCCCUUUAAAUUCGGAGGGAAACGGUCAAUACUUUUAGAGAUGAAGGAAAAUCCCCAGAGAGUUAUCCACCAAGGCCUUAAAGUUGAUUUUGGCUUAACCGCCGCUCAUUAAACAGCAUUCACUUCUCAUUUUCAUUAAAAAGUCAAGAUGUAGCAUCACAAUGUAGCACGAACUUUGAAAAGACUUUUUUACUCUGCUGCCCACUUCCAAUAGGCUGCUUAAUUUUAUCCUGUAAGCUACAUAAAUCAAUACUUUAGCCAAAGUAAAGCA